GACGAACGCUGGCGGCGUGCUUAACACAUGCAAGUCGAACGGAAAGGCCCUGCUUUUGUGUGGUGCUCGAGUGGCGAACGGGUGAGUAACACGUGAGUAACCUGCCCUUGACUUUGGGAUAACUUCAGGAAACUGGUGCUAAUACCGGAUAGGAGCUCCUGCUGCAUGGUGGGGGUUGGAAAGUUUCGGCGGUUGGGGAUGGACUCGCGGCUUAUCAGCUUGUUGGGUGGGUAGUGGCUUACCAAGGCUUUGACGGGUAGCCGGCCUGAGAGGGUGACCGGCGACAUUGGGACUGAGAUACGGCCCAGACUCCUACGGGAGGCAGCAGUGGGGAAUAUUGCACAAUGGGCGGAAGCCUGAUGAAGCAACGCCGCGUGCGGGAUGACGGCCUUCGGGUUGUAAACCGCUUUCGCUUGUGACGAAGCGUGAGUGACGGUAAUGGGUAAAGAAGCACCGGCUAACUACGUG
rnacentral:rRNA from 1 species